rnacentral:rRNA from 1 species
CCCGCAGGCGGUCUCUUAAGUCGACUGUGAAACUCCGGGGCUCAACUCCGGAUAUGCAGUUGAUACUGGGAGACUAGAGACUGGUAGAGGCCAAUGGAAUUCCUGGUGUAGCGGUGGAAUGCGUAGAUAUCAGGAAGAACACCGGUGGCGAAGGCGGUUGGCUGGGCCAGUUCUGACGCUCAUGGGCGAAAGCGUGGGGAGCAAACA